GGGGGGGGGGUUUCUCACUGAACCGGAAGCUGAUAGUUGCAGCUAGUCCCACUGGCCAAUGAAUGCCUGAAUCCUCUUGUCUCCACCCCUCAACGCUGGAGUUCCGGGAAUGCAUGCGGAAGUUAUGCAGAUGUUCUUACCCAUGGAGCCAUCGUCCCAGCCUCUGGCAACUUAUUGUUUCUGCUUGCUUGAAGCUGCGGAAGUUUCUUCCCAUUGAACCUGCUGAGUUUGUUUAACACUUCGGAUGAAGGAACUGGUGAAGAACUUGAGGAGUGUGUUUCUCCAUGCAUUCAAAGACUAGCCAGGCUUGCUUUGAUUUGUGUUGAGACAGAGCUGUAUGUAACCCAGGCUGGCCUGAGACUUGGCCUUCUCUUUCUCCUCCUCCUGUCUCCAUCUCCUGCUGGGAUUCCAGGCGUGAAUAGCUAUGGCUGCAACAUGUGGUCCUGGGGAUUGAACCCAAGCCCUUAGGUGUGGCCUUCUUGGAGGAAGUGUGUCACUGUGGGAGUGGGCUUCGCGAUCUCUAUGCUCAGACUCUGCCUAGUGUGGAAAGAUAGUCAUCUGCCUGACUUUGGAUCAAGAUGUAGAAAUCUCAGCAACUUCUCCAGCACCAUGUCUGCCUGGACGAUGCCAUGCUUCCCACCUUGAUGAUAAUGGACUGAAACUGAAGAAGAACCACAUGAGAUGAGAGAACCAUUACUGACCGAAUCCUUGCUACAGUGGGCGCCUAAGAGCACUGCUUGAUUUCUUGCUCUGGUUUUUACUGUUUGACUAGAAGUAAGUAGACAGUGUGCAUUGAUUAGCAAAAUGCUGUGCAUUUUAAAAGAAAAGGGAGGAAAAUUAUACAUAUAAAAAUCAAGUACACUGAGAUAGAAAAGUAAGUAGACUCAGUGCGGGAUUGCAUGCUGCUAUGAAGACUAAAGUCACUAAAAUUGAAAUGUUUUCAUUGUGAACUUUUAUGUUUAACAAGCCCAGACACUCAGAACCCUGUACUUGAUAUUAAAGCCUUUUAUGAAGGGAUUACGUUUUGUAUGAUGAGUGUUUUAAUAUAAGUAUGGUACACUGAAUAAAAUAUAACUACGU
rnacentral:lncRNA from 1 species